rnacentral:rRNA from 1 species
CAACACGGGGAAACUCACCAGGUCCAGACACAAUGAGGAUUGACAGAUUGAGAGCUCUUUCUUGAUUUUGUGGGUGGUGGUGCAUGGCCGUUCUUAGUUGGUGGAGUGAUUUGUCUGCUUAAUUGCGAUAACGAACGAGACCUUAACCUGCUAAAUAGCCCGUAUUGCUUUGGCAGUACGCUGGCUUCUUAGAGGGACUAUCGGCUCAAGCCGAUGGAAGUUUGAGGCAAUAACAGGUCUGUGAUGCCCUUAGAUGUUCUGGGCCGCACGCGCGCUACACUGACGGAGCCAGCGAGUACUCCCUUGGCCGGAAGGCCUGGGUAAUCUUGUUAAACUCCGUCGUGCUGGGAUAGAGCAUUGCAAUUAUUGCUCUUCAACGAGGAAUCCCUAGUAAGCGCAAGUCAUCAGCUUGCGUUGAUUACGUCCCUGCCCUUUGUACACACCACCCGUCGCUACUACCGAUUGAAUGGCUCAGUGAGGCGUCCGGACUGGCCCAGAGA